UACGUAGGGUGCAAGCGUUAAUCGGAAUUACUGGGCGUAAAGCGUGCGCAGGCGGUUCGGAAAGAGAGGUGUGAAAUCCCAGGGCUUAACCUUGGAACUGCACUUUUAACUACCGGGCUAGAGUACGUCAGAGGGGGGUAGAAUUCCACGUGUAGCAGUAAAAUGCGUAGAGAUGUGGAGGAAUACCGAUGGCGAAGGCAGCCCCCUGGGAUAAUACUGACGCUCAUGCACGAAAGCGUGGGGAGCAAACAGG
rnacentral:rRNA from 1 species